GACGAACGCUGGCGGCGUGCUUAACACAUGCAAGUCGAACGGAAAGGCCCUGCUUGCUUGGGGUUCCCGGGGGGCGAAGGGGGGAGUAAGACGUGAGUAACCUGCCCUUGAUUUUGGGGUAACUUCAGGAAACUGGGGCUAAUAUCGGAUAGGAGCUCCCGCUGCAUGGUGGGGGUUGGAACUUUUCGGCGGUUGGGGUUGGACUCGCGGCUUAUCAGCUUGUUGGUUGGGUAGUGGCUUACCAAGGCAUUGACGGGUAGCCGGCCUGGGAGGGUGGCCGGCCACAUUGGGCCUGCGAUACGGACCAGACUGCUACGGGGGGCAGCAGUGGGAAAUAUUACACAGUGAGAGGGAGCCUGAUGCGACGGCGCCGCGUGCGUGAUGACGGUCUUCGGGUUAUGAAACGCUUUCGCCUGUGACCAAGCGUGAGUGACGGUAAUGAGUGAAGAAGCACCGGCUAACUACGUG
rnacentral:rRNA from 1 species